UACGUAGAGAGCAAGCGUUGUCCGGAAUCAUUGGGCGUAAAGGGUACGCAGGCGGUCUAUUAGGUCAGAGGUGAAAUCCAACAGCUCAACUGUUGAACUGCCUUUGAUACUGGUAGACUUGAGGAUAAGAGAAGAAAACGGAAUUCCUAGUGUAGCGGUGAAAUGCGUAGAUAUUAGGAAGAAUACCGAUGGCGAAAGCAGUUUUCUAACUUAUUCCUGACGCUCAGGUACGAAAGCUAGGGUAGCAAACGGG
rnacentral:rRNA from 1 species